UACAGAGGUCCCAAGCGUUGUUCGGAUUCACUGGGCGUAAAGGGUGCGUAGGCGGUCGGGUAAGUCUGAUGUGAAAUCUCACAGCUUAACUGUGAAACUGCAUUGGAUACUAUCCGGCUUGAGGAAUGGAGGGGAGACUGGAAUUCCCGGUGUAGUGGUGAAAUGCGUAGAUAUCGGGAGGAACACCAGUGGCGAAGGCGACUUCCUGGCCUGUUCUUGACGCUGAGGCGCGAAAGCUGGGGGAGCAAACGGG
rnacentral:rRNA from 1 species